rnacentral:lncRNA from 1 species
CCAGGAAUGGACCCUGGAGCUCAGAGGCAUCACCCCCAUCCCCGCCUCUGCUCCCGAUCCCUGGAGGGAGAUCCCUGGAGGGAGAGCAAAAGGGCUGGCUGGUCCCCUGGAGUGUGGAGUUCUGGUGCAGACCAGCCCUGGAGGCCCCAGCCUGCCUCUCCCCUGCCCCGCUGCCAGGUCAUCCCCCAGGGUGUAGCUCCCAGCCCCUGCAUCCCCUGCUGCCUGGUCCUCACGGAUGACCGCCUCUUUACGUGCCAUGAGGAUUGCCAGACCAGCUUCUUCCGCUCUUUGGGCACAGCCAAGCUGGGCGACAUCAGCGCCGUCUCCACCGAGCCGGGCAAGGAGUACUGCGUCUUGGUGAGCUGGGAGUGGGGGCGGGGCUGCAGGGCCUGCAGAAGGAAAGCUCUGGCUGCUCACCCGGGGGCCUGGCUCUCCCUAGGAGUUCUCCCAGGACAGCCAGCAGCUCCUCCCGCCCUGGGUCAUCUACCUGAGCUGCACUUCUGAACUGGCAGGCUGGAGUGCGGUGGUGCAGUCUUGGCUCACCACAACCUCCACCUCCCAGGUUCAAGUGAUUCUCCUGCCUCAGCCUCCCGAGUUGCUGGGACUAUAGGUGUGCGCCACCAUGCCCAGCUAAUUUUGUAUUUUUAGUAGAGACAGGCUUUCACUGUGUUGGCCAGGCUGGUCUUGAAUGCCUGACCUUGCCGCCCGCCUCGGCCUCCCAAAGAGCUGGGAUUACAGGCGUGAGCCACCGUGCCUGGCCUCAGCCAACAUCAUCUAAGGGCUCUCACGGAGGGCCUCCCAGCUGCCCGCCCUGUGGGCAUUUGCACAUAUCCUGACAAGCCUGAAAGAAGCUCUGGGUGCCCAUUGUUCAGUCCAGGUGCCCAUUGUUCCCAGGACUGAGGCCCGGGAAAGGGAAGCGAUGUGGCAGGGCCAGCAGCAGACCCUGGGCCUUUCUCUAGACUGAGCACCACUCCCCAUGGGUGUGCUCUCAACGCCGCACCAACCUUCACACUGCAGAGAUGGAUGCCAACUCCCUGGCAGGGGCAGGACUGCUGCCGAGCAGCCCCACCUGCCCUCCCAGCCACACCCCAAGUCUGUAAGGGCCGCUCCCAGGAACACCUGCUACUGCACACUCCAAACCAAUAAAGUUUUAUAUUUUGUUUACUUCAACGACCCUCCUCUGUGGUGAAUCUCAGUCUCCGCCAUCCCUGACCCCCACCUUCUGCUCCCUCUGCCCUUUCUGUUUGUGAAAGCAGGAUGGGAGCCGUGGUCCACCUGUUCAGCUCCGCCCUGCUGGACCCAGGUGAGGCCUGCCACCUAGUGGACCCAGGGAGGAGCAUCAGGAAGGGCGGCCCCGGCCUGUGGGAGGAGAAGGCUCAGGCAGGCUCGGGCUGCAGGAGAUUCCACACCGAGUCAGAGCCGGAGGCUUUGGGAAGCUGGAACCAGACCUUACAAAAAGCAGGCAGAGCUGACCUCCUGGCUGUGGGGGAAGAGAGCCCCAGACCUCAGGCUGAGAGGGCACAGCUGAUCUCUGGCUAUGGGGGGAUAGAGUCCCUACUCUCAGACCCUGGGCUGAAGGGUCAGAGCCCACACUUCAGGCUGCAAGAGGACAGGACCCACACCUAAGGCGGGGCAGGACAGAUGGAGCCUGGGACUUCGAGGGGGCAUUGGGUGGUUCAAGCCCUCAAGGAAGAUUGCUCUUUUUUUUUUUUUUUUUUUUUUUGAGACAGAGUCUUGCUCUGUUGCCCAGGCUGGAGUGCAAUGGUGUGAUCUCAGCUCACUGCAACCUCUGCCUCCUGGGUUCAAGCCAUUCUCCUGCCUCAGCCUCCCGAGUAGCUGGGAUUACAGGUGCCUGCCACCACGCCCGGCUAAUUUUUUGUAUUUUUAGUAGAGACAGGGUUUUACCAUAUUGGUCAGGCUGGUCUCGAACUCCUGACCUUGUGAUCUGCCCACCUUGGCCUCCCAAAGUGCUGGGAUUACAGGUGUAAGCCGCUGCGCCUGUCCUCCCUCAAGGAAGAUUUCAAGUAAAGUGGAUGCCAGACUUUAGCAGGGACAGAGACCAGAGACCAGCCCAGAGACACCUGUCCCUUCACCCCACACUGCCCAAAUCGGGAGCCCGGGCAGCAGCUGGCUCCAGGCACCCCGUGUGCCUGGAGCUGGGACCUUGCCCUUCUGGGUCUCGAAGGGUUAACACCCCUGGCUCUCCUCCCCUCCCCUCCCCUGGGCCUUUGACCCCUCCCAGCCUCUCUCCUUCCCUCCACUGACACCUUUGCCCCCUCCCAGCCUCUCUCCUUCCCUCCACUGACACCUUUGCCCAGUGACGUUGGUCUGUCCUUGCGCAGACCUGGCCGGAGGCUGGGGCUCCUUCCAGGGCUGCCAUGUUCUCUCUUCCAUCCCUCCCCUCCUGGCUCCCCGGCCUCCCCUCCCUCGAGAGGGGCUCUAGCCUCCUCGACUCCCUCCUGCAAGGUGAGCACCUCGCCCCAUUCCUGCCUUAGCCCCGCCCCCUUCCAGCUCUUUGCAGUGCAGGGUGGACCCCACCCACCUGGUCUCCCGACACCCCUGCCCCUUGGCCGCCCCCUCUGACCCUAACAACGAAGCCUGCCCUCCUAACACCCCUGCACGCUGCCUCCCUUCCUCCCUCCCGCCCUCUCAGGCCUGAUCGGGGCCCUUGGAGUCUUGGUCCUGAACAGCCUCCUGAAAGUUUACUUCUUCGUGGGCUGUGCCAAGUGAGUGCUCACCUCAUCCCCCCAGGGAAUGUGGCUGGGGGCACGGGGACCCCCACCAGGGGUCGAAGGUGGCAGUUCUGCACCCCUGCCCACACCCAUUCUGUCCCCACAGUGACCCGCAGCGGCGGCCCGAAAAGGAGCGGCUUCGGGCCCAGUGGGCCUCCCUGGAAACGGUGCACCUGGCAGGGCUGGCCCUGUUUCUGACGGUCGUGGGGUCCCGGGUGGCUGCCCUCGUGGUGCUCGAGUUCUCCCUCCGGGCCGUGUCCACGCUGCUGUCCCUGGGCAAGGUGAGGCCUCCGGGAAGGCAGUGGGUGGAUCAC